CCACGUGCCGCGCCGACGCAAUCUAAGUACUGGUCGCGACACGUCGCCGAAUACUUGUAGCACGCUUAUUUCGUUUAAUUUUUAUGCCACGGAAAAGUGUGCUGUAGUUAAAUGGAUAGCUCUGUGCCAAAUACCUACACCAAAAUGCCGAGAAAUUACAUAAGGAAGGCCCCUCAGCGGAUCCUCAUCUCAUCUCAGAUGACCAAAUAAUGAAGGCCAAUUAUUUUGAUCUCAAAGUGUGACUAUUGCCAAUAUAAAUAAUUUAAGACAAGAUUCACAUUAUAAUAGAUACAGGGUGGAAUUUUGUAAUGCCACCUGGAGGGAAAGUACUCUUAGUAAUGUAGAGGAAUCGAACCAACUAAAAUUUGUUAAAAAUUA